UAGGGAAUCUUCGGCAAUGGGGGGAACCCUGACCGAGCAACGCCGCGUGAGUGAAGAAGGUUUUCGGAUCGUAAAGCUCUGUUGUUAAGGAAGAACGAGUGUGAGAAUGGAAAGUUCAUGCUGUGACGGUACUUAACCAGAAAGGGACGGCUAACUACGUGCCAGCAGCCGCGGUAAUACGUAGGUCCCGAGCGUUGUCCGGAUUUAUUGGGCGUAAAGCGAGCGCAGGCGGUUAGAAAAGUCUGAAGUGAAAGGCAGUGGCUCAACCAUUGUAGGCUUUGGAAACUGUUUAACUUUAGUGCAGAAGGGGAGAGUGGAAUUCCAUGUGUAGCGGUGAAAUGCGUAGAUAUAUGGAGGAACACCGGUGACGAAAGCGGCUCUCUGGUCUGUAACUGACGCUGAGGCUCGAAAGCGUGGGGAGCGAACAGG
rnacentral:rRNA from 1 species